rnacentral:rRNA from 1 species
UACGUAGGGUGCGAGCGUUAAUCGGAAUUACUGGGCGUAAAGGGUGCGUAGGCGGUUGUUUAAGUUUGGUGUGAAAUCUCCCGGCUCAACUGGGAGGGUGCGCCGAAUACUGAAUGACUAGAGUGCGGGAGAGGAUAGUGGAAUUCCUGGUGUAGCGGUGAAAUGCGUAGAUAUCAGGAGGAACACCAGUGGCGAAGGCGGUUGCCUGGGGCUUUGCUGACGCUGAUGCGCGAAAGCGUGGGGAGCGAUCCGG